AGAAUAAGCCCAACACACAUCUUUGUCUCAAUAUGAGUCACUGCAGUGUAUGCGUAGUUUUAUCUUAACUGAUAAACACUACUGUUUUCUUAAACUGACAUGGCGUUUAGAAAGAGAGACAGAGAGAGAGAGAAUCCCAUGACACUAUGAGAUAUGACAGACAUGUUUAGAGUACUUUCAGGCACACUCCAAGCAUUUCAACAAACUCAAAACACAUACAAUUUGGAAAAACAGAAGCUGAGAGGACUUCAAGAGAGAACUCAGGACUACUAUUUCAGUACAGAACUUGGCCAAAGCCAUUACACCUCUAAAUUCUGGGCUCUAUACGCAGAUAUCAGGGACCCCACUGCUAUGUCUUAUCACGGGCAAGGGACUGACCGGGUAUCCCCAUUCAGAGUGAAUAGAAAGUCACGCUGCACCUACUGCACUUUUGCUGGAUGUCUGCAAGCAGCUCGAAGACACCCGACAACUCCGGUGUGAGGCUGUGUGGCCGGGGCUUCCGGCAAGACAGGAAAGGACCUGCGAUUUACAAUCCAGCCACCGCAGUAGCUACCAGAGGAAAACAGAAGAAACUCACAAG